rnacentral:rRNA from 1 species
CUCUUUCCUUUCUGCCGGGGACCGUUGGGUGUCUAAAUUGCCAUCCCUCGGGAGUCGGCGUUGUUACUUUGAAAAAAUUAGAGUGUUCAAAGCAAGCCAUCGCUCUGAAUACAUUAGCAUGGAAUAACAUGAUAGGACUCCGCUCUUAUUUUGUUGGUUUCCGAGACUGGAAUAAUGAUUAAGAGGGACAGUCGGGGGCAUCCGUAUUUCAUUGUCAGAGGUGAAAUUCUUGGAUUUAUGAAAGACGAACUUCUGCGAAAGCAUUUGCCAAGGAUGUUUUCAUUAAUCAAGAACGAAAGUUGGGGGCUCGAAGAUGAUCAGAUACCAUCCUAGUCUCAACCAUAAACGAUGCCGACUAGGGAUUGGCGGAUGUUCCUUAGAUGACUCCGCCAGCACCUUAUGAGAAAUCAUUAAGUUUUUGGGUUCCGGGGGGAGUAUGGUCGCAAGGCUGAAACUCAAAGGAAUUGACG